GCCUGGGUGGCUCAGUUGGUUAAGUGCCUGACUUUGGCUCAGGUCAUGAUCUCAUGGUUCGCGGGUUCAAGCCCCAUGUCGGGCU
rfam:Felis catus isolate Cinnamon breed Abyssinian chromosome F1, whole genome shotgun sequence.